rnacentral:rRNA from 1 species
UACGUAGGGUGCGAGCGUUAAUCGGAAUUACUGGGCGUAAAGCGUGCGUAGGCGGUUCGUUAAGUUCGUUGUGAAAGCCCCGGGCUCAACCUGGGAAUGGCAAUGGAAACUGGCGGGCUGGAGUAUGGCAGAGGGGGGUGGGAAUUCCGCGUGUAGCAGUGAAAUGCGUAGAGAUGCGGAGGAACACCGAUGGCGAAGGCAGCCCCCUGGGCCAAUACUGACGCUCAGGCACGAAAGCGUGGGGAGCGAACAGG